rnacentral:rRNA from 1 species
CAGCCGCCGCGGGAAAACGGAGGGUGCAAGCGUUAAUCGGAAUUACUGGGCGUAAAGCGCACGCAGGCGGUCUGACAAGUCAGAUGUGAAAUCCUCGGGCUUAACCUGGGAACUGCAUUUGAAACUGUCAGGCUGGAGUCUUGUAGAGGGGGGUGGAAUUCCAGGUGUAGCGGUGAAAUGCGUAGAGAUCUGGAGGAAUACCGGUGGCGAAGGCGGCCAUCUGGGACAACACUGACGCUGAGGCACGAAAGCGUGGGGAGCAAACAGGAUUAGAUACCCGCGUAGUCCCUGUCUCUUAUAC